rnacentral:tRNA from 1 species
AUAGCUCAGUUGGUAGAGCAAAGGACUGAAAAUCCUUGUGUCCCCGGUUCGAUUCCUGGUGGUA